rnacentral:lncRNA from 1 species
UUCAUCAUAAAAUAAAAUUUCAAGGAACUAAGGAUGUAUUUACAAAUAUUUUUAGACCAUGGAUUAUGGACGAAGGAACACUAAGAAAUACGGUUUCAGAUGUCCAGAUUUUAAAGAGUUAAGGAAGCUAGCAUCCUUUGGAGUUGAUACAUUGGACUUUAAGGAACGUCAUGGAAAGCUUCUAUCUGUGUUGUCUACCGAGGUUGUUAAAGGACUCUUGAGUGCGUUG